AAAAAAAAACUCAAAGCUAAAGCUCAAAGGAAAAAAAAUAGACUAAAUAAUGAACACACGAUCAGGUCUUCCCUCAUCGCUUGAUGUUUCCUUCCUUCCCAGCAAGGCUCCCAUCCCAUCCUUUCAACUAGGCGCCGCCACAACCUUUGGCCUUGCCCUCCAGCAGAUCGUCGACGCGCACAGGCCUCCGUCUUCUUCCCUUCUUUAUUCCUUCGUCCGCGGAGUGCAAGCAGUAAUCGGUGAUCUGGUCCUGCAGAUGGCUUCCAUCGAAACCAUGCUUCAGAAAUAGCACCGGCAGCCACGUUCAAGCGCGUACUCAGCGAUCUGUCAUGAGAGAUAGUAGAUGCAGUCAAGUUGCGGCGAUGUUAGGCUGGACUCACAAGAUUGCGCUGUCAUGAGAGAUAGUAGAUGCAUUCAAGUUGGCGGCGAUGUUAGGCUGGACUCACAAGAUUGCCGAAGGGCAGUGCUUGCACCAGCGGAUGCACAAAUUGCUAUCCAUACAAAGGAGCCCAUCAAUUUCUAGGGCCUCAAGGAGUAUGGCACCCAACCACUGAAUUCAUUGACUACACGAAACAAGACAUGGACCAUCAAAGUUAAAGUCUCAAAGUCUUACGACUUUAGGACACAAUUAACUUAUCAACUAAUGAACUCAUUAGCACUGAUAAGAUUUUGUGAGAUAAAAAGUUCCAAGUAUUACAUAUAUAAUGUCUCUUUAGUUUUC